AUAAGCUAGCUGCCUUUUAAAUAGGCUGCUUUUAAAGUACAGAGGGUCCUUGCUGUCAGUGCAGCUGGGGUGGAAAAUGGAUUAUGUCAUACAGUGCGAUGUCAUGUCUCUUUGUGAUGUCACUAAGUACGUGAUGUCCCAAGCACUGUAGGAGAGAGAGGCUGGAGCACAGAGGGACAGAGCAAGAGAGAUUUGUUUCUGAAGUGAGAAAGACCUUUAAGCGUAUAAGUCGUUAAGUUCAAAAGGGGAGGAGGGGGUCUUUCCCCAUUGCUUAGAUCACCAUAAUGCUGAUGACAAGAGGCGGAGCUACAAUGAGGAACAGCCAGGUGUGGAGGAACCCAGUGAAAACAAUCGCCCCGGUCAACGCCAGCAGGAACAAGGUGGUGGACAAACAGAUAGACCUUCUCAUUUUCUCCUGGGCCAGGAGGCAGAGGAGUGACUCAGGAAAGGCUACGGUCUUGGAUAGGCGUUAUCUCACCCCCACUCCCCCUGCGAACCCCAGACCAGAGCACAGGGAGUGCCGAACACCCCCAAGGAGAGAGAGCACCUCCCGCUGGACUCCGGUCACCUCCAAUUCCCUCACUCCCUUCUUUACUGCUUGUAAAUCUACCUGUGGCUACCGCUUCUCCUGGGAUACUGAUCACAAGAAGAGGCGCACAGGGAUUCCGCCCAGAAACAUUGAACAAGAAUAAAUUGAGACUCCUGCUACAACAAACACAUU
rnacentral:lncRNA from 1 species